rnacentral:rRNA from 1 species
AGUCAGACAGUGUGAGAUAAGUUUCAUUGUCAAAAGGGAAACAGCCCAGACCCACAGCUAAGGUCCCAAAUGUAUGCUAAGUGGAAAACGAUGUGGAGUUGCGAAAACAACCAGGAUGUUGGCUUAGAAGCAGCCACUCAUUAAAAGAGUGCGUAAUAGCUCACUGGUCGAGUGAUUCUGCGCCGAAAAUUUAACGGGGCUAAAUUGUACACCGAAGCUUGGGAUACAUCUAAUGUAUGGUAGGAGAGCGUUGUAUGCGGGGUGAAGUCGUAGCGAAAGCGGCGGUGGACUGCAUACAAGUGAGAAUGCCGGAAUGAGUAGCGAGAUUUAUGUGAGAAUCAUAAAGGCCGAAAGACUAAGGAUUUAGAAGGAAGGUUCGUCCGCUUCUAGUUAGCCGGGAGCUAAGGCGAGGCCGAAAGGCGUAGUCGAUGCACAUACGGUGGAGAUUCCGUAGCCGCCACAAAUUUAAACAGAGGGACACUUUUGAAGGGCAUGACCCGGGCGUUGGUAGACCCGGGCGUAAGGGACCGAAAAUUGAGUAGGGAAGCAUGCUUGGAAGAAGGCGAGAAAAGCUCUGCGUAUAUGAAGUGGCGCCCGUACCGCAAACCGACACAGGUAGUCAGGAAGAGAAUUCUAAGGCCAACGGGAGAAGGGUAGUUAAGGAACUCGGCAAAUUGACCCCGUAACUUCGGAAUAAGGGGUGCUCACGAGAGUGAGCCGCAGUGAAUAGGCCCAGGCGACUGUUUAUCAAAAACACAGCUCUCUGCUAAAUCGAAAGAUGAUGUAUAGGGGGUGACACCUGCCCGGUGCUGGAAGGUUAAGAGGAGGAGUGAGAGCUCCGAAUUGAAGCCCCGGUAAACGGCGGCCGUAACUAUAACGGUCCUAAGGUAGCGAAAUUCCUUGUCAGGUAAGUUCUGACCCGCACGAAUGGUGUAACGAUCUGGGCACUGUCUCAAUUACCCACCCGGCGAAAUUGUAGUACCGGUGAAGAUGCCGGUUACCCGCGGCAAGACGGAAAGACCCCAUGGAGCUUUACUGUAACCUAAUAUUGGGUUUCGACAUUUUAUGUACAGGAUAGGUGGGAGACUAUGAAACAAUGGCGCCAGCCAUUGCGGAGUCAACCUUGGGAUACCACUCCUAAGAUGUUGGAAUUCUAACCUGCGGCCGUGAAUCCGGUCGGGGGACACUGUUAGGCGGGCAGUUUGACUGGGGCCCCCUUCAAAUCUCUUACGCCCG